rnacentral:rRNA from 1 species
UACAGAGGUCUCAAGCGUUGUUCGGAUUCAUUGGGCGUAAAGGGUGCGUAGGUGGCGCCGUAAGUCGGGUGUGAAAUUUCGGAGCUUAACUCCGAAACUGCAUUCGAUACUGCGGUGCUUGAGGACUGGAGAGGAGACUGGAAUUCAUGGUGUAGCAGUGAAAUGCGUAGAGAUCAUGAGGAAGACCAGUGGCGAAGGCGGGUCUCUGGACAAUUCCUGACACUGAGGCACGAAGGCCAGGGGAGCAAACGGG